CAGGAAGUAGUUUAAUUAGAAUAUCAGCUUUGGGAGUUGAUGGUGAGGUGUGUUUCCUUCUUCUUGA
rnacentral:tRNA from 1 species